CCAUUUCAAACCCUUCUUCCCUCGGAUGCAAUUGAUCACCGACCAGCAUCGCUGUAACUUGAUGAUGUGAGCUCGAAUGGUUAAUCUCUUGAUUAUAUAUAGGCAACAGGCUUCUUCCCCUGCUUCUGCAUCGGGCCUCACCUCAAAUCAAUCCUCUCUCUAGGCCAAAAAAAAAAAAAAAAAAGGACGUCAACAGAAUGUCGUCGUUCCUGCUUGGUUUCGCAUCAGCAACAUUGCCUUGUA
rnacentral:lncRNA from 1 species